rnacentral:rRNA from 1 species
UACGUAGGGGGCGAGCGUUGUUCGGAUUUACUGGGCGUAAAGCGUGCGUAGGCGGUUUGGCAAGUCCGGCGUGAAAUCCACACCACUCAACGGGUGGGUGUCGCUGGAUACUACCAGGCUAGAGGACGAGAGAGGAAAUUGGAAUUCCAGGUGUAGCGGUGGAAUGCGCAGAUAUCUGGAAGAACACCAGUGGCGAAGGCGGAUUUCUGGCUCGUUUCUGACGCUGAUGCACGAAAGCCAGGGGAGCGAACGGG